rnacentral:rRNA from 1 species
CCCGCUGAACUUAAGCAUAUCAAUAAGCGGAGGAAAAGAAAGCAACAGCGAUAUCCCAAGUAACGGCGAGUGAAAGGGGUAAAGCCCACCCUGAAUCCCGUAGCCUUUGGCUGCUGGGAGCUGUAGGGUUAAGUAGGCCUUUUCCGGUACUGCUCUGACUCCUUGAGUUCCCUUGAUUGGGACCACGGCCCAUAGCGGGUGCGAGGCCCAUUGCGGAGACGGACGGUGCCGGGCUAGCGUCCCUACUAAGAGUCGGGUUGCUUGAGAGUGCAGCCCGAAUACGUCGUAAACCCGACGUAAGGCUAAAUAUGGCCACGAGACCGAUAGCGAACAAGUACCGUGAGGGAAAGUUGCAAAGAACUUUGAAGAGAGAGUUCAAGAGGGCGUGAAACCGUAUAGAAGUAAACAGGUGGAGCCGCAAUGCAGUCUGCAGAGUUCAGUUUAGUUUUGGGUGAGACUUUGCUGUCGGAUCGCAAGACCGGCGGUGAGGUGCAUGUCGCUCAACGACUGGACGCACUCUCUGUAGACGGCGCCACAACCGAUUACUGCUCCGGCAAAAAACCGAACUGUUGCGGACUAGCCCUUCACGGGGAUAGUGACCAGCGGAAGCGGUGUACCCCUGGUAGCGGUGAUCGAGGCGACCUAGCCGCGCUGGCCUGGCUCUGGGCGUCGGUUACCUUUGGCGUAGUUAUGUUCUGGGACAUGCUUGCAUGGCCUAGUUCCUGCGCUGCUGGUUUAGCUGGCGUCGUAGACGAAGCGCUGAAGGUUUGUGGCGUUCGUGUCGGUCACCCACCUGACCCGUCUUGAAACACGG